rnacentral:lncRNA from 10 species
UCCAGAGAAGAGUGCAGGUAUGAGAAGUUAGCAGCCAGGACUCUUAGCACCUAAGGCAUGGGUGCACCAGCAGGUAGAGGCAUGGGAGAGCAUUACAGUAACUGCUAUGUCACAAGACAUCACACUGCUCAGACUCUGUUGUGCCCAAGAAUCUGCUGGGUCAGGGGAGUGUCCUACUAAAAUGCAGAGUCUGAUUCAGCAUGUCUGGGUUGGGCCCAGAACUGCAUUUCUAACAAGCUCCCAGAUGCUGCUGUCACACCAAGGACUACACCAAGUAUAUGGCUUCCUCAUUGCACUACUGUCAUCAUUCAGGUUGCUGGAAAAAUCAGCUAUUGAGGACCCACCAUCUAUGUAGACCCCAGGCUCCAGCUUCACUGAGAUAUGGCUGUAUCUUCUGAUUUUAAAAGGACUGUCCUAAGGAGUCCUUGGAAGCCAUGCUUCAGCCCAAAGGUUCUCAGCAAGGAAGUUGAGCAACAUCCCAUAAGAGAGAAGGGAAUGCAGGGGAAUGUCCCACGUGAAUGUUCACCAAAGGGUGAACUCAGUAGAGGAAAUUUUUAAUAAUCAAGUGGUUUGGAUGAUCCACUCUGUGAGUCAGUUAGCUUCUUUCUCCAGACACUCCUGUCAUCUCCCAACAGAUUCAUGGACAAAGUGGCCAUGGUGGCAGGAAUUGAAGUUAUGCAUGGGCUCAGCAACAUGGACUUACACUCACCAAGGCUGACCUGGCUGCAGCCUCUGCUGAGCAUUCAGUUGGCCAGAAGCAAAGAUCAACACUGAGUCUCUGAUAGGGACAAUUCCCCAGAGUGAUCAGCCAGCUUAUUUAGUGGUAAGCUGACUACACGGGACUGUUUCCAUCAUGGAAGAGGCAGUGUUUUGUUCUUACUGGAAUAGACACUUACUCUGGACACAGAUUUGCUUUCCUCCCAUUCCCCCCACCAAAAAGGAUUUGCUUUUUCUGAAUGCAAUGCUUCUGCAAAAAAUAAAAAAUAAAAUAGUAAUAAUACC